UAGUGGUGUUCUUCAGGGCUCUGUGCUGCAGCCAGUUCUGUUCAAUGUCUUUAUUGAUGACAUGGAUGAGGGCACUGAGUCCUUCAUUAGUAAAUUUGCAGGUGACACUAAGCUGGGAACCUGUGUUGAUCUGUUGAAAGGUAGGAGGGCUCUACAGAGAGACCUGUAACAGUUGGAUGGAUGGGCAGUGUCCAAUAAGAUAAGAUUUAGUAAGUCCAAGUGCCGAGUCCUGCAUUUUGGCCACGGUAACCCCCUGCAACGUUAUAGGCUGGGGAUAGUGUGGCUGGAUAGCAGCCAGGCAGAAAGGGACCUGGGGCUGCGCCAAGGGAAGUAUAGGUUGGAUAUUAGAAAAAAGUUCUUUACAGAAAGAGUGAUAAAGCAUUGAAAUUGGCUGCCAAAGGGAGGUGGUGGAGUCACCAUCCCUUAAUGUGUUUAUGCGUUUAAAAAGAAAUUGAAUGUGGCACUUGAUGCCAUGGUUUAGUUGAGGUGUUAGGGCAGGGGUUGGACUCGAAAAUCUUGAAGGUCUCUUCCAACACUAAUGAUUCUGUGAUUCUGUGAAAGUCUUUCCCACCGAGCUUAAACAGUGUUGAGGAGAGGAGAAGUGCUGUGAAAGGCAGCGUGGUUUCAGGGGUCCGUAAGAAGCAGUGCUUUCCUCCCUUUUGUAGUCCAGUCAGCCUGUGUGAAAAGUGAGAAAAGGGAUUGUAGGCAGAUUCCAGGGAUUGCUGAGAGCAGCUCAGAGAUGGUGAAGAACAUUGGCUGUGAAAGACUAAAAAUCUGAUCUUGGCUCUAAAAAAUUAAUGCUAUUACUAAGUUGUGAUACAGGCAGUUGCGUCCAUGAGACUUUUUUU